GACGAACGCUGGCGGCGUGCUUAACACAUGCAAGUCGAACGGAAAGGCCCUGCUUUUGUGGGGUGCUCGAGUGGCGAACGGGUGAGUAACACGUGAGUAACCUGCCCUUGACUUUGGGAUAACUUCAGGAAACUGGGGCUAAUACCGGAUAGGAGCUCCUGCUGCAUGGUGGGGGUUGGAAAGUUUCGGCGGUUGGGGAUGGACUCGCGGCUUAUCAGCUUGUUGGUGGGGUAGUGGAUUACCAAGGCUUUGACGGGUAGCCGGCCUGAGAGGGUGACCGGCCACAUUGGGACUGAGAUACGGCCCAGACUCCUACGGGAGGCAGCAGUGGGGAAUAUUGCACGAUGGGCGGAAGCCUGAUGCAGCAACGCCGCGUGCGGGAUGACGGCCUUCGGGUUGUAAACCGCUUUCGCCUGUGACGAAGCGUGAGUGACGGUAAUGGGUAAAGAAGCACCGGCUAACUACGUG
rnacentral:rRNA from 1 species